AUGGUGAGAAAAGCGCAAUUAACAAUGGAAGAGAGACAGACCAUCAUAACACUUAUAAAUGUAGGUCUGUCCUACAGAGAAACUGCAAAGAAAGUCAAGGUGUCAGUGAGCACAGUUUCCUUCACCAUCAAAAACAGAGGCAGCACUGCGAAAACAGAAAACCCGAGUGUGCAGCUGGCAGAGGAAAUAAACAGCUUCUUCGCCCACUUUGAAACACCACAACAGCAACACUCAUCUGCCUCAGCCCUGCUCCCAUCCUCAUCCUCACCCUCACCUGGUUCCUGCACCGCUCCACUCACUGUAACGGAGCACGAUGUCAGACGUGUGCUCCUAGCAGUGAACCCCAGGAAGGCGGCCGGUCCAGACGGAGUACCUGGCAAGGUACUAAGAGCAUGCGCACACCAGCUCACCCUCAUCUUCACCAGACUCUUCAACCUCUCACUGGAUCAGGCAGCCAUCCCAUCCUGUCUAAAAUCAGCCACAAUCAUCCCAGUGCCGAAGAAGUCUCCCAUCUCCAGCCUGAAUGAUUACUGCCCUGUGGCCCUCACACCGGUAAUCAUGAAAUGCUUUGAGAGACUAGUCCUUCAGCACAUCAAGGAUUACCUCCCCCCAGAAUUCGACCCCCACCAGUUUGCAUACCGUGCAAAUAGAUCCACAGAUGACGCCAUCGCCACAGCCCUCCACUCUGUGCUGAGUCACCCAGAGCAGCGGCAGAGCUACGUCCGAAUGCUCUUUGUGGACUACAGCUCAGCCCUUAAUACUAUCAUCCCGGACAUCCUCAUCAACAAACUGGUCACUCUUGGCCUCCCUCCUCUCACAUGUGCCUGGAUAAAGGACUUUCUCACAAACCGGCCCCAGACUGUGAGACUCGGCCCUCAUCUCUCCUCCAUUCGCACACUGAGCACCGGCUCCCCACAGGGCUGUGUGCUGAGCCCCCUCCUGUAUUCUCUCUACACCCACGACUGCAGUUCGACCCACAACAACACUCUCAUCAUCAAGUUUGCUGAUGACACCACGGUAGUCGGACUCAUCUCGAAGGGAGAGGAGGCAGACUACAGAGAGGAAGUCCUGAAGUUGGCAGCCUGGUGUUCAGAAAACAACCUGACACUGAACACUAAGAAAACCAAAGAGCUCAUUGUUGACUUCAGGAGACACAGCACUGACUUGGCCCCCCUCUACAUCAACGGGGAGUGUGUGGAGAGGGUCCACACCUUCUGGUUCCUUGGUGUCCUCAUCUCUGCUGACAUCUCCUGUACAGAAAACAUCUCAGCGGUCGUCAAGAAGGCCCAACAGCGGCUGCACUUCCUGAGAGUCCUCAGAAAGUACAAGCUGAACUCCGACCUGCUGCUGACCUUCUACUGCUCGUCCAUUGAGAGCCUGCUAACCUACUGCAUCACGGUAUGGUACAGCAGCUGCACCAAGGCGGAUAGAGUGAGGCUUCAGAGUGUGGUCAAUCAAUCAAUCUUUAUUUAUAAAGCACUUUUCAUACAAAAAAAACUGUAG
rnacentral:lncRNA from 1 species